AACUCUUUUUUGGUACAAUAAUGAUUGUCAAACAGGUUCUAAAUCGAAGCAAACAGUUAGGAAGUUCUGGAUGGAGGAUGCGGAGGCUGUUGCACUGAGAGAUGGACUCAUGUUUUAAAAAGAAGAAUGAAUUUCAAAUUGAAAUGGUUGAAAGUGACUCCCUCAGAGUAGUCCAAAGUCUUGAAUUGAAUUAUUUGUCUUUGAAUUGUAAAUUUCUC
rnacentral:lncRNA from 1 species